CCGUGCGCUCUCCCGGAGCCGUCCUGCGGCCGCUGCGCCCUCCGGGGAGGCGGCGGCGGCGCCGAGCGCGGUGCGAGACGGCGUUUCGGCGGCUGGCUGCCUGGGCAGCCCCGCUGGAGGAGGGCGGCCUCGAAGGCGCCGGCGGCGGGGGCCGCUGGGUGCGCAGAGGAGAUCUGAAGUAACUGGGAUUCCUCUGAAGAGUCACACUGAUGGGAGGGGAGAAGAUCUCCAGAUCAGGCUGGGCUCAUUUCUUUGUGAACAUCACCCUCGCCCUUGAUGACUACUUCGCCCUUGAUACAAUAGCAGAGUGGCUGGAGGAGCAACACUUCCUUGUGUGUUCAGCUCUGUCAAACCUUCAAGAUUUCCUCAAGUCCAGCUAGAACUAAAGGAAAGCAGUUGCUGGAGGAAAGUUUUAUCUCAAGUAGAAAACCUAAGACGAACAUCACAGCCUGAGACACACAGGGCAGCACAUGAUUUCAGCACGUAAUGGAUCUUUCCUGCAGUCCCUGAGCCUACAUGCCACUGCAGUUGCAUCUAAAACUGAAAUGUAGCCAAUGCACAGAGAGACCCCUAACCAGAUUCCAGCUCAUCUGAUGGACAUCAUGGACCUGUUUUGGGCUGGAUCAGGUUUAUUCAGUGGAGGAAAAGAUUGGACCCUGGCCUCGUUUGCUGAAGAAGUGGAAAUGAGCACAGCUGAGAAGCGAAACCUUUGAUGCUGCAAUGCAGAGUUGUACUGUCUCCUUGGCUCUGUCGCAGAAAUCUUGUAACUGUAAAAUCAGGCUUUUCAAAAGUUGCUGCUGAUAGUAUUUCUCGCUUUCGGACUAUCUACUUGAGAGCUGGUUGCUUGAUUUAUGCAAACAUUGUGGAAUUGCUGUUUGUGUCUCAGCUGUCAGUUGUGAAAUAAGAUAUUCACAGCAAUUCUAUUCUUCCACUGAGAAAAAUAAUUCAUGUUUGUGGUGUGCUUAGAUAAUAAGAUAACACUUCUACAGAGCAGCCUGAAAUGAAAUUAAUAAUUCUGUCUCUGGAUUAGGGUUUGAGUAAUGUUUAAUAGGUAAAGGAAGGGAAUUGAAAAGUGAAGAAAUCAAAUGCUCAUGGGCUGUGCCUCACAUUCCAGUUCCCUGUUAAACAAGGGUUCCACCAAAACAGGAUGUUCUCGUGUGACUGAAGACUACAUCGUAAUGGAAAUACAUACUCUUUAUUUCCAUCAUAUUAAUCCUGGCUUCUCCUGUUUGUGACUCGUUGCCUUACUGUUCUUUUUUAACUGUAUUAAAAUGCUUUGAAUAUACCAAAAUAAAAUGAACUUUCCAUUUCAUUAAGGAUUAGUAUCAUCAGGAAAUAAAAUCAUGAGGAAAUAAAAUGAGAGAUAUUAAAAUUUACUUUCUCUUCCCACUUUGUAUUAUUUUCAUCUCCAGGUCUCCUGCAAAUGAAGUAUAUUUCCUUUUCACUUAGAUAUUCAGAUUGCGCACUCCUGAUUCAACGGGUCCAGUUAGCCAGUAUAGAGCAGUACAGAGAAGGAGGAAGUGAGAUAGGGUGGUAUAUUUUACAAGCAUUUUACAGUUGUAACUUAUUAACAGAGAACUUGGCCUCCAGUGAGUGGGACAACUUUAAUGUUCAUUUUGCCCUUGACAUUUUUCUUGCAUUGGUACAGGCUUAAGGCAAUGCCUACCGUGAAUUUUUCUAACAGCCCAUUUCUGGUCUUUUUUUUCCCCUUUUACGAAGCAGGAUGUCUAGUUAUCCAGUAAGUGGCAGCAAAUGGCUAAAGAUUCAUCAUGAGUAAAUCAUUAUCCAGUGAAUGAAUGAAAGUAAUUAAUUUCUUUACAUGACUGUGACAGCUGAGAGGUAACUGAAGAGCUGUGUAGCAUGUACUCGUACCAGUACAGUAUUGAUAAAGCACUUGCCUAACUACCAGCAAGUAUAACCACCUUAAUUCACAAGAUGCUUUAGCAAGAAUGAUAUAUGCAUUCAGUUUGUGGCAAGCUCAGGAUGUCUAAGCCAAAAGCUGCUCCGUUUGGCUUUUUGCUGAUGCUGCAUCCAUGUCUUAUGCAGAUGGAGAGGAAGCAUAAAACUGAAACAUAAGCAAAGAUUGUAAGCUGUGCUAACAACCACCUUACCCUCUUUUGUUAAAUACUCAGGAAGGUGUGUAAAUAGGAGGAAUGAGGUACUAAGAAAAAAGAAACAGUCAUAAAGAAAUGCACUUCAAGAUCGCCUGGGGCCUCCGGCUUCUUUUAAUUCCCAUUCUUUGUUAAAACAUAAGCAGUAUGCUGAUAAAUACUAACCAGCAUUAGUAUUUAUACGAGAAAAGGAAAUGAAAACAAGUAUAUGGCCACAAACUGUUGCUAAAAUGGCAGUUAAAUUUCCAAAGAGGAAAUGUGAGAAAGGGAUAUGUAAGAAGCCAUAUCUGUCAAAU